AAAAAAAAGGUUCUGUCAUCCUUUGUGGCUCCACAAAGCUUUUGAAGAUGAAGAAAAUGGUGGAGGUCUUCUUCUUCCCCUUUCCUUUACCCUUUCAGCAAAACAAGGAAAACAGAUGCAGAAUUCAAAUGGAUGUUUACCAGAAAAGCUGAGCCCUGCUCCUCCUCCAUGUUCAGCACAAACACCAAUGUGCAUUGAGACUGGUUGCAACUUGAGCACACAUCUCCACCCUCACUGAGCUGUGAAUAAUGCUGUGUUUCUUCCUUCUUUCUUGCCCUCUGACCUGUGUGUUUAUUCAGCUUCCUCAGUAACAACAGUGAAAAAGCUGCCAAUGCCUUGAGAUUCUCAGGACACUUUACAUGGAUAACGAAAAAUAUUGAAGACAGCAGACCUGCUCUCUGGACUGAACAAUAGUUUUGGGAAUAGAGUACAGUAGCAUUUGUUGUCACUGUCCUUGGUGUCCAAUCCAACUUGAAAGAAGGAGAGAGAUGCAAGUUCCUAUAAUCUUGUUUUUAGAAUGGUGAAUCAUUCAUUGUGCCUCAAAAAGAUAGAAGACUCGAGUGUGCAACUUAACCACAAACAUAUAAGAUAGGAAGAUAAACACAGUUGAUUACUGAAAUCUAAUUGACUAUAUAAAUAAAUAUAUAUAUGAGUAACUUUUUGUAACUUCAACAUAUACUAGUCUUUUAGUUUUCGAAACUUAAACAAAUGAUUACAAUUUAAUAGGGACUUCCAACAGUGGCAUGGGU
rnacentral:lncRNA from 1 species